ACAAACCCGGAAACCCCCAACUGCCUCAUAUACUCUUAAACCCUAACUAAUUUUUUUUCCCUUCAUUCGAUCUGAAUUCUACACAAAUUCAUGGUGUCAUGGCUUAGAUUUCGAAUUCAAAUCUCAUUUCCCCUUGUGUUUCUCAUUAUUCUAUCACAAUAAUUGAUAUAUUUUGCCGAAAAUAAUUGUCUUCCUCUCAGAUCUGAUGGUUUGCGUUGAAAAUUGAUAUGCGAUAGCUAUUGUUCGUGUUCUCCUCAAAGAGAAAAAAAAAAAAAAAAAACAUCAAAUUACUCUUAUUGGAGCAGAGUCGAAUGGUUUAUAGGGUUAGAGAUUAUAACGUGGAGCUAAAGAAACUCCUGGAAAGAAGAGCUUGUAUCGAACUAAUUAAUGGGCAUUGCAGUUGGAUGCUAAUUAAGCACAGCUGAUCUUGACGAACUAUUUUGGUCCUCAGUAUGAAAUAGAGUAUACUGGUCUUCAGUAUGAAAUAGAGACACGAACUACGGCCACACUAAAUCAUUUAGUUCCUACCAAAGGAUCCACAAACAUCAAAGGGUGUGCUAUGAAUUCAAGGCAAACAAUGAUUCGAAACAAUAUGAACUUUGAUUUACGCCCCUUGCAAGCAGAUUAAGGAGCAGCUAAUUGGAGAUCGAUUGAAGUUUUUUUUUUUUUUUUUUUUUUUUUUUUUUUUUUUUUUUUUUUAAGAAAUGAGCAGAUUUGUUCCACUAUGUACUAGUCAUGAAUUACGUAUAGGUUGGAAUUAUAUUUCUUGUACUACCUAAUAGAAAACUCAUUACAAUGAAAUAUUGUACAUGUACUAUAACAUAUUUAUAUGCAAUAAAAAAAUUGGC